rnacentral:rRNA from 1 species
UACGUAGGUGGCAAGCGUUGUCCGGAUUUACUGGGCGUAAAGGAUGCGUAGGCGGAUAUGUAAGUCAGAUGUGAAAUACCCGAGCUUAACUUGGGUGCUGCAUUUCAAACUGGAUAUCUAGAGUGCAGGAGAGGAAAGCGGAAUUCCUAGUGUAGCGGUGAGAUGCGUAGAGAUUAGGAAGAACACCAGUGGCGAAGGCGGCUUUCUGGACUGUAACUGACGCUGAGGCAUGAAAGCGUGGGGAGCAAAC